UACGUAGGUGGCAAGCGUUGUCCGGAUUUAUUGGGGUUAAAGGGUGCGUAGGCGGUCCUAUAAGUCAGUGCUGAAAUAUCCCGGCUUAACCGGGAGGGUGGCAUUGAUACUGCAGGACUUGAGUAAAGUUGAGGUAGGCGGAAUUGACGGUGUAGCGGUGAAAUGCUUAGAUAUCGUCAAGAACACCGAUAGUGUAGACAGCUUACUAAGCUUUAACUGACGCUGAGGCACGAAAGUGUGGGGAUCAAACAGG
rnacentral:rRNA from 1 species